rnacentral:rRNA from 1 species
GAUGAACGCUGGCGGCGUGCCUAAUACAUGCAAGUCGAGCGAACAGACGAGGAGCUUGCUCCUCUGACGUUAGCGGCGGACGGGUGAGUAACACGUGGAUAACCUACCUAUAAGACUGGGAUAACUUCGGGAAACCGGAGCUAAUACCGGAUAAUAUAUUGAACCGCAUGGUUCAAUAGUGAAAGACGGUUUUGCUGUCACUUAUAGAUGGAUCCGCGCCGCAUUAGCUAGUUGGUAAGGUAACGGCUUACCAAGGCGACGAUGCGUAGCCGACCUGAGAGGGAGAGCGCCCCACCUGAACGUGACACAGGGCCCACCCCCCCAGGGGGGGCAGGAAUGGGAAAUUUGCCGAAGGGGGAAAAACCCGGAGGGAAAAACCCCGGGGGAGAAAAAAAGUUUUUGGGAUUGAAAAUCUCUUUUAAUAGGAAAAAAAAAAUGUGAAAGUAAAGAUCCCCGUCUUGACGGAACUUACCAAAAAAGCACCGCCUAAUUACGU